AUUUCAUAUAAAGUUAGUGAGGUGAACAUAAUCUUUACUAUAAUGUUUUUUGACACUAUUGAUGAGAAUCACUCCACUCUUCAUUUCAUAGGGCUACUGGUUCCGUACCUGUUGAGGUUGACUCUCUGUAUCUGAAAUGGCACCCUUUUCCCUAUAUAGUGCACUACUUUUGACCAGGGCCCACCUGGUCAAAAUAGGAUGCCAUUUUGUCUGUUGUCCCCAGAGCUUACGGUGUGUUUGUCUCCCUCUGCUGGCCUGAAUGACCCGGUCAUACCAGGCCAUUGUGGCUCACAGGCUUUGUCUCUUCCUUUCGUCAUAACCCUUUCCUUCUACGAGAAGCUAUACAUGACCUGACCAGGAAAGCUCCAGGCCUUAGUUAAAGACCUGGAAGUUUUCCUAGUAAGGUCACAUUGUGGGGAAAAGGUCCUUUCCAUAUUUAUAUUAUAUUAAAUCUCAUCACGGACAACUUGCACGUUUGAUCUAAUUAGCUUCUUUUAAACUACUUACUACUUUUUUAGCUACUUUGCUACUACUUAGCAUGUUAGCUAAAUCUUCCCCUAACCCUAACCUUAACCCUUUAACCUAACUCCUAAACUUAACCCCAGGGGCGUAGCCAGUGGGGUGUCCAGGUUUGCACUGGAAACCGCUGCCAUCUGAUUGGCCACACCGGGUGCCACCCCAAAAUAUAAUGUUCUACAUGCAGUUUGAUGCUGAUUGACAUCUCAUUUCACCUCUUGUUGAAAGAAGCAUUUAUUUUGACGUCCAACUGUUUUAAGGUUUAGCAUCGGGUUUAGGUUUCCUGAACAACUUUUACGAAGGAUGAGUCGCUGUAUAAUUUAANNNNNNNNNNAUAUUGAUGAUGUCAUAAUGACAAUGGUACAAACACCGACCCAUAUGUCCAUGGAACAACCGAGGGAGUGUAAUGCACUUUCUUUUUUAAAGCUGAGAAUCUUGUUGAUUUAACAUUUAUUUAUGAAAUCAUGUAUGUAGCUAACUAGUAAACCCUUCUGCUGGCUGGGAUGUUGGUUGGUCUGUGGCUAGUUGGAAUAAUAAAUUAUUAUUAUGGAAAUAUGUGUCUGUUCCUUUCCAGGAACAACCCUUCCCCUUUAGACACUUGUAGAGAUCUGAGAGGACUUGAUAGGAUGCAUCAAUAGAAUUUCACCAUAUUGCUUAAACCUGUCCAACCCUCUCAGAUCUCCACCAGUUCCUAUAGGAAGGGGUUGUUUUUGGACAGGGGCUCUGUUUCUACUAGAACCCAUCCUCUACAUGCAAGACACUGAUCAUACCCCUUGAUUUUUU
rnacentral:lncRNA from 13 species